UACGAAGGGGGCUAGCGUUGCUCGGAAUCACUGGGCGUAAAGGGCACGUAGGCGGCGUUUUAAGUCGGGGGUGAAAGCCUGUGGCUCAACCACAGAAUGGCCUUCGAUACUGGGACGCUUGAGUCUGGUAGAGGUUGGUGGAACUGCGAGUGUAGAGGUGAAAUUCGUAGAUAUUCGCAAGAACACCGGUGGCGAAGGCGGCCAACUGGACCAGCACUGACGCUGAGGCACGAAAGCGUGGGGGAGCAAACAGG
rnacentral:rRNA from 1 species